UCUCCGUUGGUGAACCAGCGGAGGGAUCAUUAUCGAGUUAUACAACUCCCAAACCCUAUGUGAACUUACCACUUGUUGCUUCGGCGCGCGCUUCGGCGCCGCCGAGGACACUUGAACUCUUUGUUUUUAUAAGCAUUUCUGAGUGGCCGAAAGGCAAAAUACAAAUGAAUCAAAACUUUCAACAACGGAUCUCUUGGUCCUG
rnacentral:misc_RNA from 1 species